UGCUGAGCAAAUUAACUUCACAACUGAAGUGGGCCACACUGGCCUUUGUGGUCCCCCACUCCUCUUAGAAUUUGUGAGCGUGGGGCAUACUGGAGGGUGGGAGGUGGGAGGAGGGGGUGGAUCAGGAAAAAUAGCUGAUAUUAGGCUUAAUAUAUGGGUGACGAAAUCUAUACAACAAACUCUUCAUGACACACGUUUACAUAUGUAACAAACCUGCACAUCCUGCACAUGUACCCCGAACUUAAAAUAAAAGUUAAAAAAAAAAAAAGGAUCUGUGAGCUGACCCAAACACCUGGAGAUCUUUGUGCUUUUGACGCACUGAUGACUCACUCCUGGGUUCGUGUUUUCACUUUUUCAUUCAGGAACUCUGGAGCUGGGGCCACUCCCUUGGCCCUUCAGGUUCUCCACCUGAGCAGUGGGGAUAAGAAGCCAGACCCGGGAAUGGCUCUGGUGAGGGUGGAGGAGUCACUGUACAGAAAGAGUAGAGCGAGGGUGGAUUUUAUUGUUAGAAGUGGACACUGGCGAUUAGGCUGUAUAAAUGGGAAAUCUCUCCCGAGAAAACACACAGCCUCACCUGUACAGAAAUACACACAUUCACACCACACGAUGCAGCCUCACACAAGACACCACCAAUCCUCAAGCAC
rnacentral:lncRNA from 1 species